rnacentral:lncRNA from 1 species
AUGGUAAACAUGUAGGUUUAUCGAACCACAUUGAUAAAGACCUGCGCAGCUCACAAAAAAUGUGAUAAAUACGUACAACGAUAGGACCCUUAUCAUUCACUGUUGAUUUCACCUGCUGUAAACAAGCCUUUCAAUAAUUAAAUUAUUUACUUUGUGAACAAAAGGAACUUAUAAAACAAGUAAUGCCGCCCCCACACGCUCAGCCUUGUGGUCCCCAAUGCGGGACGUACUGUGUACCCCACUGCUAUUUCCGCAGACAAAUGGAGAUACAUUAUCCCCAGAACCCAGUGGUGCCACCACAUCACCCACACUACCCACCACCGCCACCGCAUCACCAUCCCCAUCAUCCACCACCACCGUACUAUGAACAGCCUCAGUACCCACCAGGACCUUAUCCCCCGCCUCAUUAUGCUCAACCAUAUGGAGGGGCCACGCCGCGCUAACUGUCUAAACGAAGAGUGCGUCUACACGGUGCAUGUAGCUGGAGCAAGUUAACAUGCGCAAGUGACAAAUGACAGGUGAAGAGCACACGAGUGGGUAUUUUGCUUUCGUACAUGCGUGAGUCGUUGGACCCGCACGUUUUUUAUAUGCAUGUGCCUCAACAUGCGCCACCUACUUGCAUCGUGUAGGUGCACCCUAACUUACUGCUCAACUCGACGAAUGAACUUCAUCACUCAUCGGCUAUUCCGAUGACACAUCGCUAUAGCCUUAUUUCUGCAAAAAUGAGAUCUGCUAAUGAAAGAUUUUAUUAAUCUCUCUAAAACUGUAAAUUGAUACGGUGUAAUGAUUUAUAAUCUUAUCUGAAACGAUAAUGUUCGAAGAACGUACUGAUUUGAAAUAAAAGUGUACUCAAUGUUAAAAUGUUGUUGAUAUCGACACUCAAUUAAUAAAAACUUUGUUAAAAAAUUACAA